AGCUCCAUAGCUUGGGGGUUAGAGUGCUGGUCUUAUAACCAGGGGUCACAAGUUCAAAUCUUGCUGGGGCCU
rnacentral:tRNA from 1 species